rnacentral:rRNA from 1 species
UUGCAUAUCAAUAAGCGGAGGAAAAGAAACCAACCGGGAUUGCCUUAGUAACGGCGAGUGAAGCGGCAAAAGCUCAAAUUUGAAAUCUGGUACCUUCGGUGCCCGAGUUGUAAUUUGGAGAGGGCAACUUUGGGGCCGUUCCUUGUUUAUGUUCCUUGGACCAGGACGUCAUAGAGGGUGAGAAUCCCGUGUGGCGAGGAGUGCGGUUCUUUGUAAAGUGCCUUCGAAGAGUCGAGUUGUUUGGGAAUGCAGCUUUAAGUGGGUGGUAAAUUCCAUCUAAAGCUAAAUAUUGGCGAGAGACCGAUAGCGAACAAGUACAGUGAUGGAAAGAUGAAAAGAACUUUGAAAAGAGAGUGAAAAAGUACGUGAAAUUGUUGAAAGGGAAGGGCAUUUGAUCAGACAUGGUGUUUUGUGCCCUCUGCUCCUUGUGGGUAGGGGAAUCUCGCAUUUCACUGGGCCAGCAUCAGUUUUGGUGGCAGGAUAAAUCCAUAGGAAUGUAGCUUGCCUCGGUAAGUAUUAUAGCCUGUGGGAAUACUGCCAGCUGGGACUGAGGACUGCGACGUAAGUCAAGGAUGCUGCAAAGACCCUUGACUU